UACGUAGGGGCCAAGCGUUGUCCGGAUUUAUUGGGCGUAAAGCGCACGUAGGCGGUCCGUUAAGUCGGGGGUGAAAUCCCUCGGCUCAACCGAGGAAGUGCAUUCGAAACUGGCGGACUUGAAUAUGGAAGAGGGUCGUGGAAUUCCCGGUGUAGAGGUGAAAUUCGUAGAUAUCGGGAGGAACACCAGUGGCGAAGGCGGCGACCUGGGCCAAUAUUGACGCUGAGGUGCGAAAGCGUGGGGAGCAAACAGG
rnacentral:rRNA from 1 species